AUGCAACGCGGCCACCCGCUGGCAUAUGUAAGCAAGGGACUGGGUCCAAGAACUAGGGGUUUGUCGACUUAUGAAAAAGAGUAUAUGGCCAUAUUACUAGCUGUUGAACAGUGGCGUCCAUACUUGCAACAUUCAGAGUUUUUGAUUAUGACAGACCACUGCAGUUUGGCGCAUUUGGGCGACCAGCGUCUGCAUACUCCGUGGCAACAGAAGGUCUUUACCAAGCUACUCGGCUUACAAUUUUAGAUCAAAUACAAAAAAGGGAUUAGCAAU
rnacentral:rRNA from 1 species